GCCAGGCAUGGUGGCUCACACCUGUAAUCCCAGCUGCUCAGGAGGCUGAGGCAGGAGGAUGGUGAGUUCAAAGCCAGCCUCAGCAACAGUGAGGUGCUAAGCAACUCAGUGAGACCCUGUCUCUA
rnacentral:sRNA from 1 species